GGGGAUUAGAAUUCAAACCAAAUUCUCCUUGAUGGCUGGAAUUUUUAUUUAUUGCUAUGUACAAGGAAGCAGAACUUGAUCUACGAGGUAAAUAAUGAGCAUCUGAUUUCUGCUUGUGAAUCGUAACUCCAGAAGCACUCGAAGGAUCCUCCUCAGUUGUUCCCGAGCUCUGUCUUCUACUGCUGCUUGACUGAGUAAGAUCUGGU
rnacentral:misc_RNA from 1 species